rnacentral:tRNA from 1 species
GAUUUCGUACAGCGUGGUCUGCGCCGGCCAGGACAGCCGGUAGGGACGGGCAUCGAGUCCCGACGCCAGGAUCACCACCUGGCGAACUCCC